CAUAAUUCUAGAAAGGCAACUGUAUAACAUAAUGACUAUAAAUACUUUGAUAUCCAUGAAAAAUUAUGAAAUAUUGCUGCCUUAAUAUUAUAAGCUGAAAGCUUAAUUCUGAAAACUGAAUUAACUGAAUUCCAUAAUCUGAAAUCUGAUAAUAGAAUAAAUACUGAAAAAUCACACCAAAAAGAGUACCCAAUGAAUAGCCUUACUCAUGUACAGAGUAAUCUCGAUGUACAAGGCAAAGCCAUUCAAAUAUGAUAAUCUGACAGCUGAUAAUCUGAUAAUCUGGUCAUACGUACGCAGAGCUGCCCCAAAGGCUAAUCACCCUAGUACACGGCCCAAAGCCUAUGUGUGUACGAGAGUGGGUCCCAAAGACCUCUGAUAAUCUGGUCAUACACUAUGGAAAUACAUUCACAAUAGUGCAAAGCGGGUAAAAUCACUGUAACUAGUCAUACACUGUGGAAACACAUUCACAUCAGUGCAGACUGGGAUAAAAUAACCUGGGUACUUUCUGAUGGUUUUAAAAUAACUUUAGCUAUACUGAAACAUUUAUAUUCAUAUAACAUGCUAGUCAAAUGAUUUAAUUGAACUGAAUUUAACUUUAAAAGCAAUUGUUAAUAAAAU
rnacentral:lncRNA from 1 species